CUGAGGGGCAGGAUGGAGAUUACCCACAGAUGGCUUGUCCCAAGGAGCAGCAGGCAGGACUCUGAGCGGAAGCCUGGUGCCAUUGCUGCAGGGCCAUUUCCCGUACCCGGAUCCCGCAGCCUGGACCGACGAGGAGCUGGGCAUCCCCCCUGAUGACGAAGAGUAGACAGGGGCAGCCAGGGCAGGCGAGGCCCCUUGGUGAGGAAUCUCAGAAGCUGACAGUUUUGCUCUUGCAUUACCGUUUCAGUAAACUAUAACUAUAAAUAAAAUUAAAUUUUAAAUGUA